GGAGGCCAAGUCUGGUGCCAGCAGCCGCGGUAAUUCCAGCUCCAAUAGCGUAUAUCAAAGUUGUUGCAGUUAAAAAGCUCGUAGUUGAAUUUCGGGGUCAGUAAGUUGGUCGUGCCACUGGUAUGCACUGGCUUUACUGAUUCCUCCUUCUUGAAGAACUGUGAUGUCAUUUACUCGGUGUUGCAGGGAAACAGGACUGUUACUUUGAAAAAAUUAGAGUGUUUAAAGCAGGCUAACGCUUGAAUACAUUAGCAUGGAAUAGUGAAAUAGGACGUUUGACCCUAUUUUGUUGGUUUCUAGGAUCGACGUAAUGAUUAAUAGGGAUAGUUGGGGGCAUUAGUAUUCAAUUGUCAGAGGUGAAAUUCUUGGAUUUAUUGAAGACUAACUACUGCGAAAGCAUUUGCCAAGGAUGUUUUCAUUAAUCAAGAACGAAAGUUAGGGGAUCGAAGACGAUCAGAUACCGUCGUAGUCUUAACCAUAAACUAUGCCGACUAGGGAUCGGAUGAUGUUAAUUUUUUAAUGACUCAUUCGGCGCCUUAC
rnacentral:rRNA from 1 species